rnacentral:tRNA from 1 species
UCCCUGGAGGACUAGUGGUUAGGCCACAGCGCUCUCACCACUGCGGCUCGGGUUCGAUUCCCGGCCAGGGAA